rnacentral:rRNA from 1 species
CUCAGGGAGGUAGUGACAAGAAAUAACAACACUGGAAAUUUUAUUUCUAGUGAUUGGAAUGAUGGGAAUUUAAACUCCUUUCAGAGUAACAAUUGGAGGGCAAGUCUGGUGCCAGCAGCCGCGGUAAUUCCAGCUCCAAUAGCGUAUAUUAAAGUUGUUGCAGUUAAAAAGCUCGUAGUUGGAUGUCUGCUGGAAGCAAUCAGUCCGCCCUAUUUGUAGGGUGUGCACUUGAUGAAUUCUGGCAUUUUUGUCCCAAUGAUGUAACGGGGCGGUGGUAUUCGGUGAAAGCCGAGUAUCCUGUUUUCCGAUUAUUGGGAUACUGUUACUUUGAGAAAAUUAGAGUGUUUGAAGCAGGCUAAUUGCCUUGAAUACUGCAGCAUGGAAUAACAAUAUAGGAUUUCGGUUCUAUUUUGUUGGUUUCUAGGACUGAAAUAAUGAUUAAUAGGGACAGUUGGGGGCAUUCGUAUUAACUGUCAGAGGUGAAAUUCUUAGAUUUGUUAAAGACGAACUACUGCGAAAGCAUUUGCCAAAGAUGUUUUCAUUAAUCAAGAACGAAAGUUAGGGGCUCGAAGACGAUCAGAUACCGUCGUAGUCUUAACCAUAAACUAUGCCGACUAGAGAUAGGAAAAUGUCAUUUUGCUGACUU